rnacentral:rRNA from 1 species
CGUAGGGUGCGAGCGUUAAUCGGAAUUACUGGGCGUAAAGUGUGCGCAGGCGGCCGCGCAAGUCGAGCGUGAAAGCCCCGGGCUUAACUUGGGAAUUGCGCUCGAAACUACGUGGCUAGAGUGUGGCAGAGGGAGGUGGAAUUCCACGUGUAGCGGUGAAAUGCGUAGAGAUGUGGAGGAACACCGAUGGCGAAGGCAGCCUCCUGGGCCAACACUGACGCUCAUGCACGAAAGCGUGGGGAGCAAACAGGAUUAGAUACCCUGGUAGUCCACGCCCUAAACGAUGAUGACUAGUUGUUGGGGGAGUUAAAUCCCUUAGUAACGCAGCUAACGCGUGAAGUCAUCCGCCUGGGGAGUACGGUCGCAAGAUUA